GCCGGAGGAUGCAAGCGUUAUCCGGAAUGAGUGGGCGUAAAGCGUUCGCAGGUGGCUGUUCAAGUCUGCUGUCAAAGACCGGAGCUUAACCCCAGAAAGGCAGUGGAAACUGAACGGCUGGAGUGCAGAUCGGGUAUAGGGAAUUCCCAGUGUAGCGGUGAAAUCCGUAGAGAUUGGGAAGAACACCGGUGGCGAAAGCGCUCUGCUGGACUGCUACUGACACUGAGGGACGAAAGCUAGGGGAGCGAAAGGG
rnacentral:rRNA from 1 species